rnacentral:rRNA from 1 species
GGGGAAUAUUGCACAAUGGGGGAAACCCUGAUGCAGCAACGCCGCGUGAAGGAUGACGGUUUUCGGAUUGUAAACUUCUUUUCUUAGUGACGAAGACAGUGACGGUAGCUAAAGAAUAAGCAUCGGCUAACUACGUGCCAGCAGCCGCGGUAAUACGUAGGAUGCAAGCGUUAUCCGGAUUUACUGGGUGUAAAGGGAGCGCAGGCGGGACUGCAAGUUGGAUGUGAAAUACCGUGGCUUAACCACGGAACUGCAUCCAAAACUGUAGUUCUUGAGUGAAGUAGAGGCAAGCGGAAUUCCGAGUGUAGCGGUGAAAUGCGUAGAUAUUCGGAGGAACACCAGUGGCGAAGGCGGCUUGCUGGGCUUUAACUGACGCUGAGGCUCGAAAGUGUGGGGAGCAAACAGGAUUAGAUACCCUGGUAGUCCACACUGUAAACGAUGAUAGCUAGGUGUGGGGGGUCUGACCCCUUCCGUGCCGGAGUUAACGCAAUAAGCUAUCCACCUGGGGAGUACGACCGCAAGGUUGAAACUCAAAGGAAUUGACGGGGGCCCGCACAAGCAGUGGAUUAUGUGGUUUAAUUCGAAGCAACGCGAAGAACCUUACCAGGUCUUGACAUCCGACUAACGAGAUAGAGAUAUGUCAGGUGCCCUUCGGGGAAAGUCGAGACAGGUGGUGCAUGGUUGUCGUCAGCUCGUGUCGUAAGAUGUUGGGUUAAGUCCCGCAACGAGCGCAACCCCUGCCAUUAGUUGCUACGCAAGAGCACUCUAAUGGGACCGCUACCGACAAGGUGGAGGAAGGUGGGGACGACGUCAAAUCAUCAUGCCCCUUAUGACCUGGGCUACACACGUAAUACAAUGGCCGUUAACAGAGGGAAGCAAAGCGGUGACGCAGAGCAAAACCCUAAAAACGGUCCCAGUUCGGACUGUAGGCUGCAACCCGCCUACACGAAGUUGGAAUUGCUAGUAAUCGCGGAUCAGCAUGCCGCGGUGAAUACGUUCCCG